rnacentral:rRNA from 1 species
GACGAACGCUGGCGGCGUGCUUAACACAUGCAAGUCGAACGGAAAGGCCUGCUUUCCCUUGUGGAUUGCGGGUACUCGAGUGGCGAACGGGCGAGUAACACGUGAGUGAUCUGCCCCCAACUUGGGUAUAAGCCUGGGAAACUGGGUCUAAUUCCCGAUUGCACUGCAGGGUGGUGCCGGUGGUGGCAAACGUUUUUCUAGUGGUUGGGGAUGAGCUCGCGGCCUGUCAGCUUGUUGGUGGGGUAAUGGCCUACGAAGGCGGGGACGGGUAGGCGGCCUGGGAGGGUGGACGGGAGCAUUGGGACUGGGAUACGGGCCAUGCGCCUACGGGAAGCAGCAGUGGGGAAGAAUGCGCGAGGGGCGGAAGCCUGAUGCAGCGAGGCCGCGUGGGGGAUGACGGGCGUGGGGUUGUAGACUCCUUGCGAUCGCGAGGAAGCCACCUGGUUGGAAGGGUAGUGACGGUAGUGGUAGAAGAAGCACCGGCUAACUACGUG